AACAACUUGUAACAAGCUUGAUGGCAUUAUCAGACGUGUUACAAGGUUGUUCUAACGAGUCCGAUACAGUCAUGAUAUAGCAAGAAUGUUACAAGGUUGUAACAAUAUUGUUAUAUCAUGACUGUAUCGGAACAACCUUACAACAAGUCUGAUAAUAUCAACAAGGUUGUUACAAGUUGUUGUC